GACGGAGGAUGCAAGUGUUAUCCGGAAUCACUGGGCGUAAAGCGUCUGUAGGCGGUUUAAUAAGUCAACUGUUAAAUCUUGAGGCUCAACCUCAAAAUCGCAGUCGAAACUAUUAGGCUAGAGUAUAGUAGGGGUAAAGGGAAUUUCCAGUGGAGCGGUGAAAUGCGUAGAGAUUGGAAAGAACACCGAUGGCGAAGGCACUUUACUGGGCUAUUACUAACACUCAGAGACGAAAGCUAGGGUAGCAAAUGGG
rnacentral:rRNA from 1 species